UAAGUUCAACCCUUAUCUUCCUAA
rnacentral:tRNA from 1 species